UAAACGGAGGAAGCGAUAUUUUUAUUGGUACUCAUAUUCUAACAUUUGUAAAAAGAAUGACAUUGGUGUUUGGCGAGGUGUUAUCGACGAGUGAGAAAAAUUAUCUUUGGGAAGAAGCAGUAUCUCUUUGGUGGAAGACUGAUAUUGGUUAAUUAUAUUUUGGAUGGUGUACAAACUUAUUUAAUGUCAUUAGUACCAAUCCUAGCAAAGGUGGACCACCCAUGUCUUCCUUCCCCUUCGUCCAGCCUAGUGAGAUUAGAUUUCUAGAACAAAGUGAAGUGAUAGGAAGAGAAGACUUCUGGUAGGAAAUCCCUCUAUUCAUGAAAGCCUUUUUUUAAGGUUAAGGAGAAAACGAGAGCGCUCCUGCGCUCCAGCUGAAGAAAGGAGUUUUGGAAACUUACCUUAUUAUUAUAUUAAAAGGGGGAAAGGGUUCUAAACCUAUCUGACUAAUAAGAAGAAAGGGGUGUUUAGCCACUUGACAAGUCGCAUAACUCCUAAACAGUCUAUUUUGCUUUUAAGUGGCUAAAAUAGGAGGGCGUGGAGUGAGGGACCUCUAAAUGCAUAAUGACUGUCUCAUGUAUAAGUGGUUAUGGAGGUGGAACGAUGAUAGAGAUGCUAUUUAGAAGUCUGUUAUAGAUUUCAAGUACAGGAGAGAGCGGUUUUGGGAACUAAGCCUAUAAAAUCUCCAUAUGGGGUGACUAUGUGGAAGCACAUAGUAAAUUGUAUAGGGUGAAUUUAAGAAUAUUAUUAAAAAGGUGGGGAAUGGAAACAAAUCAGAUAAUGGUCUGAGAGACGGUGUGAUGAGAGGCUGUUGAAGAAUCAAUUUCCAACCAUUUACAGUUUGGUUUUAGAUCAAGAGUGUCUGCCGGCUGAUUCUUUUGUUGAAGGAGGCUGUAGCUUCCAUUUCAAGAGGGAUUUUAAUGAUGGGGAGCUGGAUGAAGAAGCUUCUUUUUUGGAGAAAAUGCAGAGUUUUAAGUUUGAAGGAGAGAAGGAGAAUACACAGAUAUAGCUUGCAAAUACCUCUUGGAAGUUUCAAGUGAAAUAAGGCUUUGAAUGACUGCAAGAACAGAAUCAUAGUUUGGAAAACUAAGGCCCAAACCAAAGUAGCAUGCUUUGGGCGGAUUUGCUCCUUGUUUGACUCAAGAUAAUUUACAAAGAGGGGAUUUAUCUGAUGUAAUAGGUGUUUUCUAUGUGAAUACUCUGAAGAAAUUGCUAGUCACUUAUUGUUGCCUAUGUUGCUUGGGCUCUUCAAAUAUGUCAAUUGGUGCAUGUUGGAUAGUGUAUUUUUGGAGAAUCCGUCAGGAAUCCAGAAACGAAAGUGAAGAGUCCGCUCUACUUAGGUUGUUGCACUGUGAACAAACAUAGCUGAUCGGGUCCUUAUUUUGAAUAUCUUUGGUGUUUUUUGGAUGAUGCAGAUGCCGCAGAGCUUUAAAGAUCUACUAAAUUGUUGGCAAGGUCAGGGUAUGGAAAGAAAGCAGAUGAAUAUUUGGAGAUAAUUCCCCCAUGCAUCAUCAGGACGGUGUUGCAUGAGAGAAACAAAGAUGCUUUGAAAGAAAAAGGAGUUGAUUGCCUAUGUAGAUUUAGAUUCUUGCAAGACUUGUUUUGUUGGCAUACUUUUUUUGUUUUUGUUAUGCUUGAUCUCAAUUUAUGGACUCUCUAGAUACUUUUUUUGCAUAGUGUUUGAUGGAAUCCAGAAUUUUUUAAUAUUUGCAGUACCUUGGUACUGUUUCAUCAAUAAACUUUUUACCUUAUCAAAAAAAUAAAAAAAAAAAUGUCAACUAUAGAUGUGCUGUUAUAAGGCGAUUCCUUGUAAUUUCAAACUCAGAUUCUUGAGUUUCUUGAACAUUUCGUCUCAUAAGCAGGUUUCCAUGCUAGAGGGCUGUCAUGGGAGCAGAACAGCCAAAAGACCCAUCAAAAGAGAUGGACUGGAAAAGUCUGGGUGGAGAAAGUAGGGAGCCUGGUCUUGGACCAGCUGUGAAGAAACGGCUUCCAAAAAAGAUUCGACAAGUUCCUGAUUAUUAUUUCCUCCCACGGAGAUCCUUACAAUAUUCCAUAGCCUUUUAUGGGUCAUUUAUUCCCUGCCGGAGUUGGUGCAGGGAUGCUACUUGAAGUAUGGAUCAACAAGAAGGUCAAAGAGGAUGGAGGAGUCAUUUGGGAGUUUGACAAAUGAAAUACCAGAUGAUUUUGCUGCUCUUUUGCCUGUGCCGUUGUUUUCUGAUUUCCUUUUCUCGCCAAGUAGUUUACAUCAGCCAAGGCAGUUCAAAAGUUUCUAUACAGGAUAACGCUAUUUUAUUUUGUAGUUACUAUACAUUUGAGGAGUAGAGUGCAACAUUAGUUCUUGAUGGAAUUUGAGUAAAUAAAAUUGUGCAUCUGGAAGUAGUACCACAACUAAAACACGCAGCUUAGUGUUAUAAAUUGUGAUAUUGUCAGUAUUUUUGUUGUAUUUAACGGUCCUACUAGGUCUAUCUUGUAACUUUUGAUUACGAGCAAGACUUUUAUCCAUAGUUAUCUAAAUUUUACUAUUUUUAUAAUAUUAUUUCUCGUAUGGCAAGCUAGUGUUCCUAGUUAGCCACACGUCCAAAUUGACUCUAAUUAGUUGGAAAAUUGUACUUCGUAGAUAGAUUAAAAAAAAAUGUAUAUAUAAUAUAUUAAUUAUUUUGCCUUUUA